rnacentral:rRNA from 1 species
CAAAUUUGAAAUCUGGCACCUUCGGUGUCCGAGUUGUAAUUUGAAGAAGGUAACUUUGGAGUCAGCUCUUGUCUAUGUUCCUUGGAACAGGACGUCACAGAGGGUGAGAAUCCCGUGCGAUGAGAUGUCUGAUUCUAUGUAAAGUGCUUUCGAAGAGUCGAGUUGUUUGGGAAUGCAGCUCUAAGUGGGUGGUAAAUUCCAUCUAAAGCUAAAUAUUGGCGAGAGACCGAUAGCGAACAAGUACAGUGAUGGAAAGAUGAAAAGAACUUUGAAAAGAGAGUGAAAAAGUACGUGAAAUUGUUGAAAGGGAAGGGUUUGAGAUCAGACUUGGUAUUUUGUAUGUCUUGCUUUCGGGUGGGGCCUCUACAGUUUACUGGGCCAGCAUCGGUUUGGACGGUAGGAUAAUGACAUUGGAAUGUGGCACCACUUCGGUGGUGUGUUAUAGACUUUGUUGAUACUGCCUGUCUAGACCGAGGACUGCGUCUUUGACUAGGAUGCUGGCAUAAUGAUCUUAAACCGCC